AUUGAACGCUGGCGGAAUGCUUUACACAUGCAAGUCGAGCGGCAGCACGGGGGCAACCCUGGUGGCGAGCGGCGAACGGGUGAGUAACACAUCGGAACGUACCCUGUCGUGGGGGAUAACGAAUCGAAAGAUUCGCUAAUACCGCAUACGACCCGAGGGUGAAAGCGGGGGGAUCGCAAGACCUCGCGCGACAGGAGCGGCCGAUGGCGGAUUAGCUAGUUGGUGGGGUAAAGGCCCACCAAGGCGACGAUCCGUAGCGGGUCUGAGAGGACGGCCCGCCACACUGGGACUGAGACACGGCCCAGACUCCUACGGGAGGCAGCAGUGGGAAUUUGGACAAUGGGGGCAACCCUGAUCCAGCCAUUCCGCGUGAGUGAAGAAGGCCUUCGGGUUGUAAAGCUCUUUCGGCAGGAACGAAAAGGCGUACUCUCUAACAUAGGGGGUCAAUGACGGUACCUGAAGAGAAGCACCGGCUAACUACGU
rnacentral:rRNA from 1 species